AACAUACAAUAAGUUUUAUAAUAAUUAUUGGAGUUUCCCAUUAUUUUAGAACACAUACCAAUAAUAUAUUCAUACAAAUACAGCCUAAGGAAAACCAAACAACAUUGCAUAUUUGAUAGUGCUUUUUGUAUGAUUUUCAUACCAGAUAAGCCUAAUGUCACUGUUGCAUUUGUGCAUUAUUGAUAUCAAACCCAAUUUUUAAUAACACCUUAAAGACAUAUUUACCCAAUUUCAAUGUUUAACAAUAAGGUAAGAUUCUUAUAAACCUUUUUUAACCCUUUACUAUUAUUAUUGCAGAAGAGCAGGUCAGUGCUCUAUGAAAAAUCUGCUGUGCUUUUAUUCCAAUAUGUAAUUUAUGGAAAACCUGAAUAAUAGCUUUUAACUUUAGUCAGUAUGUUCACAUGCAGAAUCUCUUACAAUUAAUUUUUAUAAACCUUUUACAACUGUUCAAACCUUUAGCUUUACUUCAUCUAACUUAUAACAAUUAUUUAACUCUUUAGGCAAAAAACCCACAUUCCUGUGUCUUCUUAUGGUAUUUUACCAAAAGUACAUUUUCGUUUCCUUACACACCUUACAUGUAAAAUUGUUUCCUCAGUAGUCUCAGUUACAUAUUACCAGGUUAACUUUUAGUGACUUUUACUUUUGGUGAAAACCUUGAUUAAUAAGCAAUUUAAAUUGUGUACUAGGUGUGGGGCCUAGCCUAGGACACACCAGGCAGAAUGCAGAUAAGAGCUUACACGCCAACAUAGCUAAGGAGUGUGGCUAACUCCACAGGUGCCCUGGUUUUGCCUUUCCUUAAGCAGGCAAAAUGUACAAUAAGAGUUACAGUGUCAUUUUAUGAAGCAUUUAGGAUGCUUAACAACGUUUGAAUUGGACAACAUUUCUUGCAUACAUUCCCUUUCACCAAUCUGUUCAUGACUUACACAGACAAUCUGAGACAUUCUUAGACUUCCUUACUUGCCCUAAACAUCCUUCCUUUUAAAAAACCGGUCAUUUUACUUUAGGACAAGAAUUUACCAU